rnacentral:rRNA from 1 species
UGAAGUAAGUAAGGGCGUACGGUGAAUGCCUUGGUGCCAACAGGCGAAGAAGGACGCGGCAAGCUGCGAAAAUCCUCGGGAAGCUGCAAGCAAGCGAUGAUCCGGGGGUAUCCGAAUGGGGUAACCUGAUCGAGGCAAUACUCGAUCGUUCAUACCUGAAUACAUAGGGUAUGAAACGCGAAACCCGCUGAAGUGAAACAUCUCAGUAAGCGGAGGAAAAGAAAGAGAAAUCGAUUCCGUAAGUAGUGGCGAGCGAAAGCGGAUGGAGCCCAAACCGAAGGUACUCCUUCGGGGUUGUAGGACCACGACAUAUUCGACCAUACUGGAUAGUAGAACAGCCUGGAAAGGCUGGCCGUAGAAGGUGAAAGCCCUGUAGACGAAAUCCAGCGUGGGAAUUAGUGGGAUCCUGAGUAAUACAUCACACGUGGAACGAUGUAUGAAUCAGCGCGGACCACCGCGCAAGGCUAAAUACUAGUUGGCGACCGAUAGUGAACAAGUACCGCGAGGGAAAGGUGAAAAGAACCGCUGUGAGCGGAGUGAAAUAGAACCUGAAACCGUAUGUCUACAAAGUGUCAGAGCAGAGCAAUCUGCGAUGGCGUGCCUUUUGUUUAAUGAGUCUGCGAGUCAGUGUUUGUGGCAAGACUAAGGGCUUCCGGCCCGGAGUCGCAGCGAAAGCAAGUCCGAAUAGGGCGAAUUAAGUCGCAGGUACUGGACCCGAAGCGGAGGUGACCUACCCUUGGCCAGGUUGAAGCAUGGGUAAAACCAUGUGGAGGACCGAACAGGUGAACGUUGAAAAGUUCUCUGAUGAGCUGAGGGUAGGAGUGAAAGGCUAAUCAAACCCCGUGAUAGCUGGUUCUCUUCGAAAUGCAUUUAGGUGCAGCGUCACGUGCUGAUGCGCGGGGGUAGAGCACUGACAAGGCUAGGGGGCACACCCGCUUACCAAACCUUAUCAAACUCCGAAUACCGUGCAAUGGAACGUGGCAGUGAGACAGUGGGGGAUAAGCUUCAUUGUCGAGAGGGAAACAACCCAGACCAGCAGCUAAGGUGCCUAAAUAACGCUCAGUGGAAAGGAUGUGGGAUUACACAGACAGUGAGGAUGUUGGCUUAGAAGCAGCCACCAUUUAAAAAAUGCGUAAUAGCUUACUCAUCGAGUGAUCCUGCGCCGAAAAUGAUUGGCGAUCAAGCGUUAUACCGAAGCUCUGGACUUUACCUUACGGUAGAGUGGUAGAAGAGCGUUGCAUGCGCGUUGAAGGGUGAUGGCGACUGACCCUGGAGCACAUGCAAGUGAGUAUGCAGACAUGAGUAACGUAAAGCCGGGUGAAAUCCCCGGCCGCCGUAAACCCGAGGUUUCCAGGGCAACGUGUUUCGUCCCUGGGUUAGCCGGGACCUAAGCCGAGGCCGAGAGGCGUAGGCGAUGGAUAUCAGGUUAAUAAUCCUGAGCUCGCGACCCUUAAACUGGGGGGACGCAUGAGAAAAGAUGACUAGGUUAUUGAAUUCCGAGUUGAGUCCACGGACUCAGCGCAUCAUUGGAUCGAGUGCCAAGAAAAGCCCCAGCGUAUGCUAAGCGACCCGUACCGCAAACCGACACAGGUGGGUGGGUAGAAUAUACCAAGGCGUAAGAGUGAAACCUGGUUAAGGAACUCGGCAAAUUAGCCCCGUAACUUCGGAAGAAGGGGUGCCUGCAGCGAUGCAGGCCGCAGAGAAAUGGCCCAACCGACUGUUUAUCAAAAACACAGCACUCUGCAAAGACGCAAGUCGAAGUAUAGGGUGUGACACGUGACCAAUGCCGAAAGAUUAAGGCAAGGGGUUAGCCGCAAGGCGAAGCUCUGAACCCAAGUCCCGGUGAAUGUCGGCCGUAACUAUAACGGUCCUAAGGUAGCGAAAUUCCUUGUCGGGUAAGUUCCGACCUGCACGAAUCGUGAAACGAGUUGGGCACUGUCUCAACCAGGCGCUCAGUGAAAUUGUAGUGGCGGUGAAGAUGCCGCCUACCCGCAGAAGGACGGAAAGACCCUAUAGACCUU